UUCAUACCUCCCCUCGCGGCAUUUGGUGCAAAGGAACCGAACUCAUCAACAAGGAUGAAAUUCCAACAGCUGGAGAAAAAGGACAAAGAUCUAAUACUCGUAGGUGUUCCCGAGUGGUCACCGAAAAGAGAAGCUUCGUGCGUCUUGAGCUAAAGAAACGCCAUCCAGAUCUAUCUCAGGAGGCACCUCAAGAAUCGCCAAUUUUCCUGUACGGCGUUGUUUCCCAAUUCCUCGUCCAUCCAGCUCCACCACCUUGCUAGAUUCUCUUGUGCACUCUCUCGGAUUUUUGCAUGUGAGUGUGGUGACCACACUGGCGAGCGUGUUGUUUGGAGGCGAAUUUGGGAAGCCAGCGAUUGGUUACAUUUAUGAAGCACACGACAAAGCUCGAAGAACCGGGAACAGGUUCUUGCUUGUACACUUGAAAAGUUUAUACUCUGCGUGUUUUGUGUGUCAGGGAGAACGACUUUUAUCCGAGAUUACUUGAGCAAAACACCAGAGUGAGAUGAUGGGCGAACGUCAGUUUCGCUCGACAGAGAUAGAUCCUCAUCCUUCGCUCCAUUCAAGCACAGCACAGCCGCAGCAGCGAUCGAUCCAGUGUCGCAUUAGGACGCGACUUAUAACGUCUUGCUCGUAAGCACAAAAGAGAACCGCAGGGAAGAUAAAACGAAGAACAAAAGAGAUGCUGCAAAAAUUCCCCCCCGCAAAGCUGUGCGCGAAAGCUUCUCUCACAUGGAUGACGUUGUCUGGUUGUUCCACACGCUUGGACGCAAUCAAUCAAUCAAUCAAUCAACCAGUCCAUCAAUCUUCUUUCCAUUCCAUUCCAAGCAAUCAGAGAAUUCCACUGCGCCAACUUUUCCAACCUAAUUGUUUCAUGGGCUUGCAUACGUCUGCUUUUGAGAAGGCGGUGCACUGAUCAAAUCGAAGAAGCCCCUGUAUGUAAAGAUUCCCUUUUUCCAGAAUCUUGCCCCACCACCUAUUAAGACCUAAUGAAGUUGACGUU